GACGAACGCUGGCGGCGUGCUUAACACAUGCAAGUCGAGCUGUAAGGCCCUUUCGGGGGUACACGAGCGGCGAACGGGUGAGUAACACGUGGGUGACCUGCCCUCAGCUCUGGGAUAAGCCUGGGAAACCGGGUCUAAUACUGGAUAUGACUCCAUGACGCAUGUUGUGGGGUGGAAAGCCUUGUGCGGCUGAGGAUGGGCCCGCGGCCUAUCAGCUUGUUGGUGGGGUGAUGGCCUACCAAGGCGACGACGGGUAGCCGGCCUGAGAGGGCGACCGGCCACACUGGGACUGAGACACGGCCCAGACUCCUACGGGAGGCAGCAGUGGGGAAUCUUGCGCAAUGGGCGAAAGCCUGACGCAGCGACGCCGCGUGAGGGAUGACGGCCUCGG
rnacentral:rRNA from 1 species